CUACGGGCCGCACCAGGCGAGAAAACUUUGCAAUGUGCGAAAGCACGACAAGGUUAAUCCGAGUGGUUUGUGCUAAACGAACCUUUUGACAGUCCUAGAAACACUGUUGAAUAAGGGGUGGGCAAGUUCUGGUGUCAGCCGCCGCGGUAAAACCAGCACCUCAAGUGGUCAGGAUGAUUAUUGGGCCUAAAGCAUCCGUAGCCGGCGCUGUAAGUUUUCGGUUAAAUCUGUACGCUCAACGUACAGGCUGCCGGGAAUACUGCAGAGCUAGGGAGUGGGAGAGGUAGACGGUACUCGGUAGGAAGGGGUAACAUCCUUUGAUCUAUUGAUGACCACCUGUGGCGAAGGCGGUCUACCAGAACACGUCCGACGGUGAGGGAUGAAAGCUGGGGGAGCAAACCGGAUUAGAUACCCCGGUAGUC
rnacentral:rRNA from 1 species